rnacentral:rRNA from 1 species
UACGGAGGGAGCUAGCGUUGUUCGGAAUUACUGGGCGUAAAGCGCACGUAGGCGGCUUUGUAAGUUAGAGGUGAAAGCCCGGGGCUCAACUCCGGAACUGCCUUUAAGACUGCAUCGCUUGAAUCCAGGAGAGGUGAGUGGAAUUCCGAGUGUAGAGGUGAAAUUCGUAGAUAUUCGGAGGAACACCAGUGGCGAAGGCGGCUCACUGGUCCAUUACUGAACGCUGAGG